AUUCACUGCAGCACUAUUUUCACUGGCCAAGGCAUGGAAGCAACCUAAAUGUCCAUCAACAGAGGAAUAAAGAAGCUGUGGUACAUAUAUACAAUGGAAUAUUCCUCAGCCAUAAAAAAGAACGAAAUAAUGCCAUUUGCAGCAAUAUGGAUAGACCUAGAAACUAUCAUACUGAAUGAAGUUAGACAGUGAAAGACAAACAUCAUAUGAUAUCACCUAUAUGUGGAAUCAAAACGAGAGGAUACAAAUGAACUUAUCUGCAAAAGAGAAACAGACUCCCAGACUGUGGAAAAACUUACGGUUACCCAAAGGAACAGGUGAGGGUGGGAGGGAUGGACUGAGGGUUUGGAAAUGACAUAUGCACACUGAAGUAUAUGGAAUGACUGGGAGACGUGGUCAUGCUGUAUAGCACAGAGAACUCUGCCCAGUAUUCUGUGAUAAUCUUUGUGGGGAAGGAAUCUGAAAGAGAAUGUGUAUAUGCAUGACUGAAUCACUUUGUUGUACAGGAGAAAUUAUCACAACCUUGUAAAUCAACUAUACUUCAAUAAAACUUAAAAAAAAAAAGUAUCAGAGUUCCCACUAUGGCUCAGAUGGGUUAAUAAUGUCUCUGCUGCACCAGGACACAGGUUCAAUCCCUGCCCAGUACAGUGGGUUAAGGAUUACGCAUUGCCACAGUUGUGGCAUAGGUUGCAAAUGAGGCUGGGAUCUGAUCCCUAGCCAGGGAACUCCAUAAUGCCACGGGGUGGCCCCCCGCCAAAAAAAAGAGAGAGAGACAGUAUCAAAGGAUUUCCCCUGGUGGUGCAGAGGGUGAAGGAUCUUCUUGUCACUGCAGUGGCUCAGGUCCAAUCCCUGGUCCAGGAACUUCUGUAUGCCCUGGGCACACAGCACCCCCUCCCCAAAAAAGACAAUAUAUAGUGCUGGUGAGGAUGCCCAACACCAGGAAUCUUCCUCUAUUGCUGGUAGGAAUCACCCAAAACUGGAAACAACCUAAAUAUCCUUCAGUGUAUGAAGGGAUAAUCAAACUCUCGUAUAGUCACACUGUGGAAUACUAUUCACCGAUUAAGAAGGAAUGAAUGAAUGAUUCAUACACCAUUUACGGAUCUCAAAUCAUUUGAGAAAGCAGAAGAAGCCAGACUCAAGAUACUCUAGACUCUAUGAUUCUAGUCAUAGGCUCUUAAAGAAAAGGCAAAACUAGAGAGACAAAAAAUAGAUCAGUGGUGUCCAGGGACUGAUUGUAGAGGAAGAAAUUGAUUACAAAAGAACAUAGGCGAACUUGUAGGGGUGAAGGAACUAUUCUAUAUUUUGACAGUGGUGGUUCCACAACUACAUUUGUCAAAACUCAUAGAACUACAAAAUGUCAAUUUUAUCAAUGUAAAUUUAUCUCAGUGAAAAAAGUUGGAUUGGAUUCUAUUUCAUAAUUCAGAAAUUAAGGAUUAAACUAUAAAAGGCAAAAUAAAACUGUUAAUAGCCAACAUGGGGGGAAGAUCUUUUAAAAUCUUAAGGAAGAACUUUUAAAAUAAAACCUAGUAUUAGAAAAAUGAUAUCUUUGAUCACAUCUAUUUAUCAAAGAUCCCAAAGUAAAAAGUGAAGCCCCAAAUGAUAUUUGCAAACACAUAUAAUUAGCAAGAGAUUAGUAUCUAAAAUACAUAAUGACUACAAAAGAAGAAAGCAUACAAAACCCAAGCAAACAAACAUCAAAGAACAGUUCUGUGGCUGUGGCAUUAAGUACAGUCACAUGUCAUUGCAACCAUCACUAUCAUCCAUCUCCAGAACUUUGUUCAUCUUGAAAAACAAAUUCUAUUCCCAUUAAGCAACAACUCCUCAUUCCUCCAUCCCUCCAGUUCCGGGAAACCACCAUAAUACUUUCCGUCUCCAUGAAUUUGACUCCAUGAAUCAGGAAGUAUUUGUCCUUUUGUGAGGGGUUUAUUUCAUUUCACAUAGUAUCUUCCAGAUUCAUCCAUACCGUAGCAUGUGUCAGAAUUUCCUUCCUUUUAUAGCUGAAUAAUAUUCCGAAGGAUGGCCAUAUCACAUUUUUUAAAUGCAUUCAUCCACUGAUAGACAAUCGUGUUGUUUCAACCUUGUGGCCAUUGUGAAAUAUGCUAAGAACAUUGGUUUGCAGAUACCUGUUUGAGUCUCUGCUUUAAAUUCUUUUGGGUAUACACCCAGAAGUAGAAUUGCUGGAUCAUAUGGCAGCUCUAAUUUUAAUUUUUUGAGGAACCAUCAUAGUGUUUUCCAUAGCUGCUAUGCCAUUUUUCUUUCCUACUGGCAGUGCACAAGUGUUCCAGUUUCUCCACAUCCUUGCUAACAUUUUGUCCUUGUCUUUGUUGUUGUUGUUGUUUUUAGUAAUAGUCAUCCUGAUGGGUGUGUAGCGGUAUCUCAUUGUGGUUUUGAUUUGCAUUCAGCUAAUGAUGAAUGAUAUUGAACACCUUUUCAUGGGCAUCUUGGAAAGAAACCGCUUUUAUAAAAGAAAUAAACUUUUCUAUAAAAACCUAUUAUAUAGGAGAGGAAAAAAGAAAAUAUAAACCUCAAAAUAUUAUCAGUGUGCUGAAAUACUGUCCAGCAAAUAUUGACUCUCUUCCCUAGUAUCACCACGGGAGGAUAUACUUCCCCACCCACUGAACUUGGACUUCCCCUUCCUUGUUUUGGCUACUAGUGGAGCAUGGACAGAAGCAGCAGCAUGCCAGGUCUGAGCUCAAGUCUUAGAGCCAUCCCAUGUUUCCACUCAUCAUCUACACAGACUUGCUGCAGGUAUCCGUUGAGCCUGAGCCACAAAAGGACAACUGUAGAACAGAGCUAAAGUUGUCUUGUUGCCUGAAGCAGCUGUGGGAGCUGACCCAUAGAAUUGUGAUCAAGUAAUUGCUAGUAGCUAUGCACCAGUGAGCUUUUUGAGGCCAUUUGUUACACUGAAAAGAAAAACUGAUACACAGAAGCUUCUCUCUGGAUGGUGAGAUUGAGUAAUUUUUCCCCUUCUUUGUACUUUUAAAAUAUUUUCCAGUUUUUCUAUAAUUCUCUACUUAUUGAUAAUUUUAAAAAUAAUCUGGGAUUUUUCAUAUGAAAUGACUAACAGUGGUUAUUUCUGUUACAACGCACGUAUUUUUCAAAACUUUUACUUAAAUUCUGAAUUUUUUUUUCACAAGGAACAUGUCUUAUUUUGUAGUCAGAAAAAAAAAAUAACAAAGGCUUUUGUUUCAUUUUUUUUUCCUAGAACAAUAGCCAUUCAAAAAAUCUCAAAGGAGCUUCCAAGAGUUAGUAGUAAAGCCAAGUAGAAAAGGAUGAAACAUUCUUCCUUAUUGGUUGCCUGGGUUGGGAGUGGAAAGCAGAAAUCACUGGGAUGUUUGGGGGGGUGGGGGUCGGUGGUUAGAAAUGCUCUAAAAUUGGGUUGUGGUUGCAGUUAUACCAGUCUGUAAUUUGCUAAAACUCAUUGAAUUAUAUACUUAAAAAUCGUGAAUUUUAAAUAAUUAUACAUACCCUCAAUAAAAUGCUUUAAAAAACCCAUUCUUCUUUUACAUGACAAUUUAAAGAAAUAAGCUUUAGUUUCAAGAACUGGAACCACAGAUAACUCCUCCAAUAACAGUGCAAACACUGACAACAAUAAAAUAAAUACACAAUCUCUUAUUGAAGAAGUAGAAUAACUAAAAGGCAAAUUUGAGUGAGAAUAUGGAGCAAAGAGUCUUUGAAAAAAAGUUCGUAGGAAUGCCUGUUGUAGCACAGCAGAAACGAAUCUGACUAGUAUCCAUGAGGAUGCAGGUUUGAUCCCUGGCCUCUCUCAGUGGGUCUGGGAUCCUGUGUUGCCAUGAGCUGUAGUGUAGGUCGCAGACACAGAUCAGAUUCCGUGUGGCUGUGGCAUAGGCCGGCAGCUGUGACUCCGAUUCAACCCCUAGCCUGGAAAUUUCCAUGCGCCAGGGGUGCAGCCCUAAAAAGCAAAAAAAAUUCCUAAAUUAAACAGAAACAUUUUACUUUCACUGAGCAAGCUGUGAUUUGCCAAUCGUAUUCUGUCACACACAGGGGCCAGGCUUGGGGGCAGAGGAUUAGCAAUGGGAUCAGUUUGUGUCCUUGGAAGCCAGCACACCUUGAGGAUGGGAUGGGAGGCAAAAGUACAGUAGUAUUCAACUUGCUAACAGCAACUGCAAAAUGACAGGCAACUUGCCAGUUACUUGUUGAAACUUGGAGAAUAUAAAUGCAUAAGUUAAAUAGUGCCUUGUAGGUACUUGGGAUGGAACCAAACACUCUGUGGACACUUCAGAGGUUAACGUAUUUGAAUUGAAAUGAUUUAAAAAUUAUGUUAAAAGACACAGUAAAAUCCCUGUGUCUCAGCCCCAAAGUCCUAAAUCAGCCCCUCUGUCUGGAAGUCAUCUGCUUGUCAAACCUCUAAGCUAACAUCUAGCUUUUGCAACAUGAAAGUUGCCAUGACAACUGAGGAGAAAGUUUUGGUCAACAUAGUAUAAUCAAAAAACAAUUUAAAAAAACCCUUUGAGCAACUUUUUUUAAGCCAAGGGGGAUUCAAAUGAUACCCCAAAAGCAUAAUGUCUCACAGGUAUAAAAUCUGGGGGUCAUGGAACAAGAAACAAAAACUAGAUGGCGAAGUCAGAUGGACAAAGCAAGAAGCAUGGUUGUCCAAACACCUCUUCACCUUGGGCAUCUUAUGCGUAAAAUAUCUAAGAAAUGUUUGUUGGUUUAAUCUGAUUGGACUCCAAAUCCUUAUUUCACGUCCCAAAGAAGAAUGAACUUGUGUCAUUUGAGCUGAGACCCGAACAUACUCAACAGAAACGAAUUUCCAGAAAUCCCAGUACUUGAAAUCACUAAGCUUUUCUGCUGUGUUUCCUUAACCACCCUAGAGGUAGCAUUUGAUUUAAGUUCUAGGGGGAGACUGCUUUUGCAAACAUUAAAUCCAAUUAAGACAAAAUAGAAAAUAAAACAUUUGAAAACAACUUAUUUUUGAAGUAUAUUCUGGGAGAAAUGCUUUCUCUGUGUAUAAUGGGAAUUUUUCUUAUUUUUCUGUGCGUCACCUAUCCUCACUUUAUCUGAUAAGUGCCCCUGGUUUUCCAUCACCCAUUUUGAGCUGUAUGAUUCAAGGGAUUGAUUCCAUCUAAGUUUCAGGAAGAUGCUGUUUACUAGGCUUGGCCAAAUCAGAAGCUUUAUCCUGGAGGUCGCGUCGUGGCGCAGUGGUUAACGAAUCCGACUAGGAACCAUGAGCUUGCAGGUUCGAUCCAUGCCCUUGCUCAGUGGGAUAACGAUCCGGCGUUGCCGUGAGCUGUGGUGUAGGUUGCAGACGUGGCUCGGAUCCCGAAUUGCUGUGGCUCUGGCAUAGGCUGGCAGCUCCAGCUCCGAUUAGACCCCCAGCCUGGGAAACUCCAUAUGCCAUGGGAGCGGCCCAAGAAAUGGCAAAAAGACAAAAAAAAAAAAAAAAA
rnacentral:lncRNA from 1 species